AACGCGAAAGCCCCCUUCGGGGGGCAAGUAGAGUGGCGCACGGGUGAGUAACACGUAGGUAAUCUACCUUUGGAUGGGGAAUAACCACCGGAAACGGUGGCUAAUACCGCAUAAUGCAGCGGCACCUAAUGGUGACAGUUGUUAAAGCGGGGGAUCGCAAGACCUCGCGUCUGAAGAGGAGCCUGCGGCGGAUUAGCUAGUUGGUAAGGUAAAGGCUUACCAAGGCGAUGAUCCGUAGCCGGCCUGAGAGGGCGGUCGGCCACACUGACACUGACAUACGGGUCAGACUCCUACGGGAGGCAGCAGUCGGGAAUUUUGGGCAAUGGGCGAAAGCCUGACCCAGCAACGCCGCGUGAAGGAUGAAAUCCCUCGGGAUGUAAACUUCGCAAGAACGGGAAGAAUAAGCCGGUGUCAACACCACCGGCGAUGACGGUACUGUUUGUAAGCUCCGGCUAACUCCGUGCCAGCAGCCGCGGUAAUACGGGGGGAGCAAGCGUUG
rnacentral:rRNA from 1 species